UAUUUUUAUAUAUGAUCAGGAACAUUUGGAAAGGGAAUUGGCUUCUGCAAGAGAAGAAUCUGUUAAACUUUCUGAGAGAUUGAAGGAGGCAUUUCAAGAAGUGGAGACAGCAAAGAAGGAAAAGGAGGAAUGUAUGGAGAAACUUUCACAGACUGAAAGACUAUUAGCAGAAGGUAAAGGGAGAGUAAUGAAGUUAGAGGAA